CCUACGGGUGGCAGCAGUGAGGAAUAUUGGUCAAUGGACGCAAGUCUGAACCAGCCAUGCCGCGUGCAGGAAGACGGCUCUAUGAGUUGUAAACUGCUUUUGUACGAGGGUAAACGCAGAUACGCGUAUCUGUUUGAAAGUAUCGUACGAAUAAGGAUCGGCUAACUCCGUGCCAGCAGCCGCGGUAAUACGGAGGAUCCAAGCGUUAUCCGGAUUUAUUGGGUUUAAAGGGUGCGUAGGCGGUCGGAUAAGUUAGAGGUGAAAUCCCGAGGCUCAACUUCGGAAUUGCCUCUGAUACUGUAAGGCUAGAGAGUAGUUGCGGUAGGCGGAAUGUAUGGUGUAGCGGUGAAAUGCUUAGAGAUCAUACAGAACACCGAUUGCGAAGGCAGCUUACCAAACUACAUCUGACGUUGAGGCACGAAAGCGUGGGGAGCAAACAGGAUUAGAUACCCCAGUAGUC
rnacentral:rRNA from 1 species